GGGUGACAGGGCGAGACUCUGUCUCAAAAGAAAAAAAAAUUUUAAAGCCAUCAAACAUAUAUUUCAAUACAAUACUCGAGACUAAAAAUAAUUUCACCUUCCAUGUCCUUUGCUAUGUCUUCAGAUCCAACAAAACAUGUCAAGUCACAAGAAAGAACAGACUUAGAUGGUACAUUAGAGCUGUAAACAUAAAAGAGCUGGUUAGUAAUUGUUCGAAAUCAACAUCCCAGAAUCUUUUCCUGUUCCUAAUGUCAAUGAAACUUGGGGUGGGUUCACUUCUUUUCUUUGGCUACUUCUAGCAGUGUAAAACAUUUUUCACCAAUGGCACUUCUACCUGUCAAAGCCUGCCUGAGACUCAGUGUGGAGACUAAUUUCCAAUAUCUAACUUCUAGGAUGUGACAAGUGGCAGCAGGAUGGCACUGGGGCGCACAGUUCAACUCAAGAUAUCUAUUGAAAUCGAGGCUCCUACCCAGAUAUCUUUAGUGGAUGAAGCAUCAGGAGAGGUUUUUAUCUCAGGGCAAUAAUGGAACUAUCUUGUACACAGGAGACUUCAGAUUGGUGCAAGGAGAAGCUGCUAGAAUGGAGCUUCUGCACUCCGGGGGCAGAGUCAAAGACAUCCAAAGUGUAUAUUUAGAUACUAUGUUGUGUGAUCCAAGAUUUUACCAAAUUCCAAGUCAGGAGGAGUGUUUACGUGGAGUCUUUGAGCUGGUUCAAAGCUGGAUCACUCAGAGCCUGUACCAUGUUGUGUGGCUGAACUGCAAAGCGGCUUAUGGCUAUGAAUAUUUGUUCACCAACCUUAGUGAAGAAUUAGGAGUCCAGAUUCAUGUCAAUAAGCUAGACAUGUUUAGGAACAUGCCUGAGAUCCUUCAUCAUCUCACAACAGACCGCAACACUCAGAUCCAUGCAUGCUGGCACCCCAAGGUACAUGUGUCAGUGGCUCAAGACCUCCAGAAGUUUCCCACCAGAGACCUAGGCUGCGUGUUGCUCUGGAAGAAUAUCACACUGUGCGUGUACGCCUGUCGCGAAAUUCAAUGGAAUGUCAUCCUGCGCCUCCCUGGAUAUGAUGAACAAAGCUCAGAGGAUCCAGAACUGCAGCCGGUCCUCACUGGGCUGUUCCUGUCCAUGUGCCUGGUCACGGUGCUGGGGAACCUGCUCAUCAUCCUGGCCGUCAGCCCUGACUCCCACCUCCACACCCCCAUGUACUUCUUCCUCUCCAACCUGUCCCUGCCUGACAUCGGUUUCACCUCCACCACGGUCCCCAAGAUGAUUGUGGACAUCCAGUCUCACAGCAGAGUCAUCUCCUACGCAGGCUGCCUGACUCAGAUGUCUCUCUUUGCCAUUUUUGGAGGCAUGGAAGAGAGACAUGCUCCUGAGUGUGAUGGCCUAUGACCGGUUUGUAGCCAUCUGUCACCCUCUAUAUCAUUCAGCCAUCAUGAACCCAUGUUUCUGUGGCUUUCUAGUUUUGUUGUCUUUUUUUUUCUCAGUCUUUUAGACGCCCAGCUGCACAACUUGAUUGCCUUACAAAGGACCUGCUUCAAGGAUGUGGAAAUUCCUAAUUUCUUCUGUGACCCUUCUCAACUCCCCAUCUUGCAUGUUGUGGUACCUUCACCAAUAACAUAAUCAUGUAUUUCCCUGCUGCCAUAUUUGGUUUUCUUCCCAUCUCGGGGACCCUUCUCUCUUACGAUAAAAUUGUUUUCUCCAUUCUAAGGGUUUCAUCAUCAGGUGGGAAGUAUAAGGCCUUCUCCACCUGUGGGUCUCACCUGUCAGUUGUUUGCUGAUUUUAUGGAACAGGCAUUGGAGGCUACCUCAGUUCAGAUGUGUCAUCUUCCCCGAGAAAGGCUGCAGUGACCUCAGUGAUGUACACGGUGGUCAUCCCCAUGCUGAACCCCUUCAUCUACAGCCUGAGAAACAGGGAUAUGAAAAGUGUCCUGCGGCAGCCACACGGCAGCACGGUCUCAUCUCAAUAUCUUCUUAUCUGUUCCAUUCCUUUUGUAGUGUGGGUUAAAAAAGGCAGCAAGGUCAAAUAAGAAUGAUGUCACAGGAUGAACGCCCACUGUGAUAUUAGGAGUAAUACCUCCCUAGGAUAUAGAAUAUACUGUCACAGAGUAUACACACAUGGGGUACACCCACGGUGAUAUUAGAAGCAAUAUCUCCCUAAAGUACGAUGAAAAAUAUCACAGGGUGUGCACACUGUGUGAUAUGAGGAGUAAUAUUUACCCUGGAUAUUAUGACUAACAUCAAGCGUGUACACACCAGGGGUACACGCACUGUGAUAUCAGGAGUUGUAUCUCCCUAGGAUAUUAUGAAUACUAUCACAGGGUAUACACUAUGUGUGUACAUCCACUGUGAUAUUUGAAGUAAUAUCUCUCUAUGAGAUUAUAAAUAACAUCAAAGCUUGUACACCCUUGUGACAUAUUAGGAGUAACAUGCUUCUAGGGUAUUGCAGAUCACGCCACAACGUGUACACCUCCUGUGACGUUUUGUACACUCUUUGUGACAUUAAAAGAAACAUCCCCCUAGGAUAUUAUGAAUAAUAAAACAGGAGGGGUACACACAAGGUGUACACAGCCUGUGUCAUCAGGAGUAACAAUUCCCUAGGAUAUUAUGAAUAAUAUCACAGCAGGUGUACACACAUGGUGUACACCCCAUGUGACAUUCGGAAGAGCAUGCCCCUAGGAUAUUAGGAAUAGUAUCACUGGGGUUGAAUACGCAUUUUUAAUGCGUAAUGUCACACCCGGUGACAUUAAAAAUAACGUCCCCCUUGGAUAUUACGAAUAAUAUGACAGGGAGUACACCCCGUGUGACAUGAGGAGUAACACCCCCAAAGGAUAUAACGAAUAAUAUCAGAGGGUGUACGUGCACUGUGACCUUAGUAGUAACAUCUCUUUAGGAUAUUACAAAUAGUAUCACAGGGUGUACAGGCAUUGUGACAUUAGUAGUAACAUCCCGCUGGGAUAUGACGAGUCACAUCACAGGGUGUACACCUCCGUGACAAUAGUAUCAACAUUCCCCUAGAAUACUAUGAAUAAUAUCAAAGGAGGUACAGCCCCUGUGAUUUACGAGUAACAUGUCAAUAGAAUGUUACAACUCAUAUCACUGUGUGACUCUGUGUACACCCCGUGUGACUUUAGGAGUAACAUCCCACAAAGCUAUGAUGAAAAAUAUCACAGGGUGAACACCCCCUGUGACCUGAGGAAUAACAUAGUUUUAGGAUAUUGUGAAUGAUUUGACAAGGUGUACACACCCUGUGACGUUAGGAGCAACAUCCGUCUAGGAUGUUAGGAAGAAUAUCACACGGAACACACCUCCUGUGACAUUAGGAUAUGAUAAAUAAUAUAACAAAGUGUACAUGCAUCGUGACAUGAGGGCUAAUAUCCCUCUGGUACACUAUGAAUAAUAUCACAGGGUGUACCUCCCUGUGACGUUAGGAGUAACAUCCCCCUAGAAUAGUAAGAAUACUAACACAGGGUGUACACCACCUGUGACAUGAGGAGUAUCAUCUCGCUAGAAUAUUACAAAUAAUGUCACAGGGUGUUAUUGUCUGUGCCAAUAGGAGUAUAGACCCCUGGGAAAUUAUGAAUACUAUCACAGGCUGUACAGCCCUGAGACAUUAGGAGUAACAUCUUUCUAGAAUAUCACAAAUAAUAUCACAAUGUGUACACCCAAUGUGUCAUUAAAAGCCAAAUUGCCCUAGGAUAUUAUGAAAUAGAACACAGGGAGUACACCCCGUGUGACAUUAGAAGUAACAUCCCCCGAGGAUAUAAUGAAUAAGAUCAGAGAAUGUACCCGCAUUGGGACAUCAGUAGUAACAUCUCUUCAAGACAAUAUGAAUAAUAUCAAAGGGUGUACACGCAUUGAGAAAUGAGUAGUGAACUCCCGCUAGGAUAUUAGGAAUUUGAUAACAGGAUCUACACGCCCUGUGACAUUAGCAGUAACGUUUUCCUAGAUUACGAAGAAUAUGAAAGGGUGUACAGGACCUGUGAAUUACGAGCAACAUUUCCAUAGCAUAUUGCACGUAGCAUCACUGUGUGAACACGCCGCGUGACGUUAGGGGUAACACCCACAAAAUUAUAAAGAAUAAUUUCACAAGGUGUGCACCCUCUGUGGCAUUAAAAGUAACAUUUCCCUAGAAUAUGACGAAAAUAUCACAGAGUGUACACCCUCUGUGAUAUGAGGAGUGACAUCUUAUGAGGAUAAUAAGAGUAAUUGGACAAGGCAUACAAACCCUGUGACAUAAGGGGUGACAUCCCUCUAGGACAUUAUCGAUAAUAUCAAAAGUAACCUACCACGUGUGACAAUAAAUGCAACCUCCCCUUAGGAGAAUGAGAAUAACACCACAAGGUGUACACACAAUGUGACAUUAUGAUUAAGGUAAAGCUAGAAUAUUGGGAAUAACAUCAUAGUGUACAGAGUCCUGUGACAUCAGGUCUAACAUUCCCCUACAAAAUUACGAAUAAUAUUGAAGGGUGUAUACCCCUGCGACUUUAUCAGCCGCAUCUUGCUAGAAUAUGGAAGAUAAUGUCCCAGGGAGUGAACAGAGGGUGGCAGCAAAGAAAGGAUCCCAGGAAAAAUCAGGGAGUAACAUUACCCUGCUCUCCCCCCUGGAUAUUACGAUCCACAUCGCAGGAGGGUGGGGGGCCACCGAGAUGCGGGGAGUAAUAUCGCACCCCACUCUCCGCCUAGACAUUAGGAGCCACAGCGCAGGGGCGCGGGCGACCAGCGAUGCGGGGAGUAAUAUCACCCGACCAUCCCCCGUGGAUAUUACGAUCCACGACGCAUAGGGGCGGGAGCCCACGCGAUUCGGGGAGUAAAUUCAUCCCUCACUCCAACCCUGGAUAUGAAGACCCACAUUGCCGGGGGGCGGGCGCCCCCCCCACAUAAGGGGAGUAAUAUCAACCCCCACUCCCCAACGGAUAUGACGAACCACAUCGCAGGGGGGCCGACGCCCCCCACCUUGCGGGGAGUAAUAUCACCCCAAUCUCCCACCCUGGAUAUGACGAUCCACAUUGCAGGGGGGCGGGCGCGCUCCGCGAUACCAGGAGUCAUAUCACCACCUUCGCGACUCCGGGAUAUGACGACCCCCAUCGCGGGGGGCGGGGAUUAAAGAGCCAGCCCCUCUUGCCCCCCUGGCUCUUAGGAGCCCCAUCGCAGGGGGGCGAGGCGCCCCCCGCGAUGCGGGGACUAAAGAGCCAGCCCCUCUUGCCCCCCUGGCUCUUAGGAGCCCCAUCGCAGGGGGGCGAGGCGCCCCCCGCAAUGCGGGGACUAAAGAGCCAGCCCCUCUUGCCCCCCUGGCUCUUAGGAGCCGCGGUGGUCUGACAGCCUGUUUAACAUAUUGUGAGUAAUAUCAUCUCCCCCUCUGGUGAUUAUGAACUCUUUCACAGACGGAUUCUAUACCCUCUGUGUAUAGUGGGUGUACAGCCGUCUUUAUUGGGAUUAAUAGCAUCCUCUUCCUCCCUGAGUAUUAAGAAGUGUAUCACAGGGGAGUUUCUACUCCCUGGGAUAUCGCGUGUCAUAUCUUUCUCUCCCACGUUGCAAUUGGAAUCAAUAUCAGUGGGGGCGUGUCCACCUUCUGUGAUAUUGAAUGUCCUAUCGUCCUCUUCCCUCCAGGGUCAUGGGAACAAUAUCCCUGGGGGAUGUCCACUUUCUGCCAUACAUGGAGUCAUAUCUCCCCCUCCGCCUUGGAAUAUUAUUAAGGACCAUCUCACACGGGGGUGUACACUUCCUGCGAUAUUGGGAGUAAUAUCAAGUUCUCGGCCCUUGAGUAUUAGGAUGAAUAUCACAGGGUUGGUGUCCACCUCCUGCUCUGUUAUCGGGAGUCCUAUCUAUCUAUUAUGUGGAGUAAUAUCAUCCUCUCCCUUUCAGGUUAUUAAUAACAAUUUCACAGGCUUGGUGAACACAGCCUGAGAUGCUGGAAUUAUUAUCAUCCUCUCCCCCUCGGGACACUAGGAAGAAUAUCACAGAAUAGGUGUAGACUCCCUGCGAUAUUGGGAGUAGUGUCAUACGCUUCUUCCCUGAAUAUUAGGAGCAAUGUCACCGGGUGGCUGUGCAUUGAUUUCUCUGUUGGCAGUCAUGUCAUACUCUACCCGCUGUGUAUUAGGAUCGGUGUCACAGGGUGAGUGUACACGUACUGCCAUAUGAAAACUAAUAUCAUGCUCUCCAUCCCUGGAUAUUAGGAACAGUAUGACAGGUAGGUGAACACCCCCUGCGGUAUU